CCCAUUGAGUUUAAGAAUAUCAAUAAGCAGAGGAAAAGAAACUUACAAGGAUUCCCUUAGUAACGACGAACGAACUGGGAAUAGCCUAACCUUAGACUCGUGCGGCUCCGUCCUUUGAAUUAUUAUCUGAAGAAGCAUCCUUAGUGGUGGAACGAGCCCAAGUCCCUUGGAGGGGGGCGCUAGAGAGGGUGAGAGCCUCGUUGUGCCCAGACCUUGUUGAACCAUAAGGCGCUAUCUACGAGUGGGGUUGUUUAGGAAUGCAGCCUAAAUUGGGCGGUGAAUUUCGUCUAAGGCUAAAUACAGGUGAGAGACCGAUAGUGAACAAGUACUACAAGGGAAAGAUGAAAAGAACUUUGAAAAGAGAGUCAAAGAUUUUUUAAAAUUAUCGGGAGGGAAACGAAUGGGGGCCGGCGAUGUGCCCUAGUCGGAUGUGGAACGGCAAUGAGGCGGUCCGCUGAUCGGCUGGGGGCAUGGACCAGCGUGGAUUGGGGGGCGUCCAAAGUUCGGGCUCUCGAUACGCUCAUAAAAUGCCGUCUCCUCAAUUAUGGCAGGCAACACACGCCUUUGGAGUGCUUCGACAUCUGCGCGCUCCAGACACUAGCCCGUGGGCUCCCUAUUUGACCUAUCUUAAAACACAG
rnacentral:ncRNA from 1 species